GCUAUAGCGGUUUCAAGAGACCACAAGCUGGAUUAGACGAAUGAGAGACAUAAGAUAGAGGAAGCCGUAGUUUUUGUGAUGUGGGCUGGAACAUGGCGUGUAGGUGGCGUCGUCACAGUUUUAUGAGCAUUUGGGGACAAGCUCUUGAAGCAGUAUUUGGUUGCUAACCCAAAGAUCAAGGAGGAGGUGGUGGACAACUCGUCCUCAUCCUUGCAAACGAUGGCCUUUGGGAUGUGGUGACCAACGAGGAAGUCGUUGCCAUGGUGAAGCUGAUCCUAGACUCGAAGCAGAGGCCUCCCACCGCGGAACAACUAAAACAUCGUCUGCGUCACCGUGCGCUUUCUGGAGUAGAACAAUGGGCUUGCCUCUUCCUGGAGCAGCACAAUGGUCUUCAUGUCUUGCCAGGGCCACCAACAAUCAGGCAUCGUUAGUUCCUUGAGAUGUCGAAGGGUUUAGGGUUAUCCGUGUGUUGCGACGGCUCACAACAAUACCCACGUAAAUUAUCCACCAAAAAGAUCUCAAGAUUUUUUAUUAUUUGCC